ensembl:lncRNA
CCCUUUCUCUCAGCAUCCUCCGGUGCUCCUGGAGGUGAUACAGGCACAGCAGCAUCCAUGGCCUGCCCUUAGCCUCUGCACUUGGCUUUUUCCCCUCCUCGUUAUUCCGGCAGCUGAGCGGGAUCGGAGGCUUUUGGUCGAAGGGCUCCCGUUAAGCAUCUGGUAACUGGGAUCGUAUUCUCCUGUAUUUUUUCAGGCUCCUUGGAAAUUGAGGAAUGCAAUUCUGCCACCAUGAUGGAAGGUAGGUGAUGAUCUGAGCAUGUCUUUCGGGAUUGCUGGAGUUUUCAAAGCCAUGGGGGAAGGACGAUGCGCGGAACCUGCGCGUGUGAAUCCUCUUCCUAUUAAAAAACCCUAAAAUAAUGAUAAUAAUGAUAAUAAAAUUAAAACCUCCCCUCCCCCUAAUCCCAUUCGAAUCGAAGCACCCUGCCCACUGCCGCUGAGCUGGUGGAUGGUGAUAUAAUAUCAAGCCCAUCAGAUUAUUUGUGGUUCCCUCCCCAGCCCUGUGUAGGCAGCUCGGGGUAAGCAAACACCCGGUUAUCCAUCGGAGCUGCCAGUUCCAGGCAGCAGCCUGGGCAGGGAGAUGAACCCAACCUGGAUGGGUUGGUUGGUAUUUGAAUCCUUUAAGUAUUAUUUUAUCCUCUGCUUGGAAACGCACUUUUUCCACCUGCUGUGAUGCACAGAGGGUGAAUAUAAGUGUUAUCUGUAUGCACAGACCGCGGCUGUGAAGCCUGGUGAUGCUCGAUGGGAUUCUGUGGUUUUACGCUGUGUGGAUGGACAUCUUUCUAGCAGGAAACAAGGAUGUUUGAACUUAGGGUCGUUUUUGCUAUGUAGUGUGUCUGGUUUGAAGGCGCAGGCUCUGGUGGGGGGGAUGUUGGAUUGUGGCUUAUUGGAAUAAAAAAGGAAAUGAGAAGGAAAUAUGGGCUCCGAGCACAAGAGUGUUGUGAGACUGUCUGAUGGUGUGUGGGAAAAGCCCCUGGGCAUUAAAGAAAUUUUAACCUGUGUCGUUUGUCUCGACUGUAUGUAAAGGUCUUUUUAAUUCUAUUUAAUUUUUUAAUGCCUUCUGGAGUCAGAUGCAGGGAAAGGGAGACUUUUAAAUUUAUAUUCUGAACAGAAUAGAUACUUCAGGGAAUAUAUUCUCUUUUAUUUCUGACAAAUAAAAAUGAUCUAUUUGAGAGACUUGAGGAUGUCAAAAUAUUCCCUUGGAUUUGUGUAUUCUGGUCCAUUGGCCGAGGCAGCAGGGCCCAGCCUGGGGAGGGCUGCGCGGAGCCGCAUCCAGCGCCGUGCUCGCGGCACUGCCAGCAUGCUAACCGGCAUGCCCGGCCUUCCCGAGAUGACAGGCAGAAAUUAGGCUUCCUCUUGGUGUGUCCCUGCAAAUCAUGCUCUGCCACCCGGUCCAAAUUAACCUGCAAAGGCAUCAAGCUCCGUGUAACCGAGACUUCUCCUAUUGACUUGAAUUAUUUGCCUAACCUUGGGAAUGGAGGUUCUGUAAUGGC